rnacentral:rRNA from 1 species
UGGGGAAUCUUGGACAAUGGGGGCAACCCUGAUCCAGCCAUGCCGCGUGAGUGAUGAAGGCCUUAGGGUCGUAAAGCUCUUUCGCCUGUGAAGAUAAUGACGGUAGCAGGUAAAGAAACCCCGGCUAACUCCGUGCCAGCAGCCGCGGUAAUACGGAGGGGGUUAGCGUUGUUCGGAAUUACUGGGCGUAAAGCGCACGUAGGCGGACCAGAAAGUUGGGGGUGAAAUCCCGGGGGCUCAACCCCGGAACUGCCUCCAAAACUAUUGGUCUAGAGUUCGAGAGAGGUGAGUGGAAUUCCAAGUGUAGAGGUGAAAUUCGUAGAUAUUUGGAGGAACACCAGUGGCGAAGGCGGCUCACUGGCUCGAUACUGACGCUGAGGUGCGAAAGUGUGGGGAGCAAACAGGAUUAGAUACCCUGGGUAGUCCACACCGUAAAACGAUGAAUGCCAGUCGUCGGGUAGCAUGCUAUUCGGUGACACACCUAACGGAUUAAGCAUUCCGCCUGGGGAGUACGGUCG